rnacentral:rRNA from 1 species
AGAAUCAACGCUGGCGGCGUGCCUAACACAUGCAAGUCGAACGCGAAAGGGGCGCAAGUCCUGAGUAGAGUGGCAAACGGGUGAGUAACACGUGGGUGACCUGCCUUCGAGUGGGGGGAUAACGUUCCGAAAGGAACGCUAAUACCGCAUGACAUCCUGCGUUUGGAAACGCGGACAUCAAAGCUGGGGAUCGCAAGACCUGGCGCUUGAAGAGGGGCCCGCGCCUGAUUAGCUAGUUGGUAGGGUAACGGCCUACCAAGGCGACGAUCAGUA